rnacentral:rRNA from 1 species
UACGUAGGGUGCGAGCGUUGUCCGGAAUUAUUGGGCGUAAAGAGCUCGUAGGCGGUCUGUCGCGUCUGCUGUGAAAACCCGAGGCUCAACCUCGGGCCUGCAGUGGGUACGGGCAGACUAGAGUGCGGUAGGGGAGAAUGGAAUUCCUGGUGUAGCGGUGGAAUGCGCAGAUAUCAGGAAGAACACCCGUGGCGAAGGCGGCUCUCUGGGACGGUACUGACGCUGAGACGCGAAAGCGUGGGGAGCGAACAGG